rnacentral:rRNA from 1 species
UACGUAGGCAGCGAGCGUUGUUCGGAGUUACUGGGCGUAAAGGGUGUGUAGGCGGUUUUCUAAGUUUGGUGUGAAAUCUCCCGGCUCAACCGGGAGGGUGCGCCGAAAACUGGGAGACUAGAGUGCGGGAUGGGAGAGUAGAAUUCCUGGUGUAGCGGUGAAAUGCGUAGAUAUCAGGAGGAAUACCGGUGGUGAAGCCGGCUCUCUGGACCGCCACUGACGCUGAGACACGAAAGCGUGGGUAGCAAACAGG